rnacentral:rRNA from 1 species
UGGGGAAUAUUGGACAAUGGGCGAAAGCCUGAUCCAGCCAUGCCGCGUGUGUGAAGAAGGUCUUCGGAUUGUAAAGCACUUUAAGUUGGGAGGAAGGGCAUUAACCUAAUACGUUAGUGCUUUGACGUUACCGACAGAAUAAGCACCGGCUAACUCUGUGCCAGCAGCCGCGGUAAUCCAGAGGGUGCAAGCGUUAAUCGGAAUGACUGGGCGUAAAGCGCGCGUAGGUGGUUUGUUAAGUUGGAUGUGAAAUCCCCGGGCUCAACCUGGGAACUGCAUUCAAAACUGACUGACUAGAGUAUGGUAGAGGGUGGUGGAAUUUCCUGUGUAGCGGUGAAAUGCGUAGAUAUAGGAAGGAACACCAGUGGCGAAGGCGACCACCUGGACUAAUACUGACACUGAGGUGCGAAAGCGUGGGGAGCAAACA